rnacentral:rRNA from 1 species
GAUGAACGCUGGCGGCGUGCCUAAUACAUGCAAGUCGAGCGAACGGACGAGAAGCUUGCUUCUCUGAUGUUAGCGGCGGACGGGUGAGUAACACGUGGAUAACCUACCUAUAAGACUGGGAUAACUUCGGGAAACCGGAUCUAAUACCGGAUGAUAUUUUGAACCGCAUGGUUCAAAAGUGAAAGACGGUCUUGCUGUCACUUAUAGAUGGAUCCGCGCUGCAUUAGCUAGUUGGUAAGGUAACGGCUUACCAAGGCAACGAUGCAUAGCCGACCUGAGAGGGUGAUCGGCCACACUGGAACUGAGACACGGUCCAGACUCCUACGGGAGUCAGCAGUAGGGAAUCUUCCGCAAUGGGCGAAAGCCUGACGGAGCAACGCCGCGUGAGUGAUGAAGGUCUUCGGAUCGUAAAACUCUGUUAUUAGGGAAGAACAUAUGUGUAAGUAACUGUGCACAUCUUGACGGUACCUAAUCAGAAAGCCACGGCUAACUACGUG